GACGAACGCUGGCGGCGUGCUUAACACAUGCAAGUCGAACGCAGUGGCGAACGGGUGAGUAACGCGUAAUCAACCUGCCCUUCCGAGGGGGACAACAGUUGGAAACGACUGCUAAUACCGCAUACUGAAGGAGGGGAUUGCGUCUGAUUAGCUCGUUGGCGGGGUAACGGCCCACCAAGGCGAUGAUCAGUAGCCGGGCUGAGAGGAUGAACGGCAAAAUUGGGACUGAGACACGGCCCAGACUCCUACGGGAGGCAGCAGUGGGGAAUCUUCCGCAAUGGACGGAAGUCUGACGGAGCAACGCCGCGUGAGUGAUGACGGCCUUCGGGUUGUAAAGCUCUGUUAAUCGGGACGCGGUACCGGAAUAGAAAGCCACGGCUAACUACGUGCCAGCAGCCGCGGUAAUAC
rnacentral:rRNA from 1 species